rnacentral:rRNA from 1 species
GACGAACGCUGGCGGCGUGCCUAAUACAUGCAAGUAGAACGCUGAAGGAGGAGCUUGCUUCUCUGGAUGAGUUGCGAACGGGUGAGUAACGCGUAGGUAACCUGCCUGGUAGCGGGGGAUAACUAUUGGAAACGAUAGCUAAUACCGCAUAAUAUUGACUAUUGCAUGAUAGUCAGUUGAAAGGUGCAACUGCACCACUACCAGAUGGACCUGCGUUGUAUUAGCUAGUUGGUGGGGUAACGGCUCACCAAGGCGACGAUACAUAGCCGACCUGAGAGGGUGAUCGGCCACACUGGGACUGAGACACGGCCCAGACUCCUACGGGAGGCAGCAGUAGGGAAUCUUCGGCAAUAGACGGAAGGCUGACCGAGCAACGCCGCGUGAGUGAAGAAGGUUUUCGGAUCGUAAAGCUCUGUUGUAAGAGAAGAACGAGUGUGAGAGUGGAAAGCUCACACUGUGACGGUAUCUUACCAGAAAGGGACGGCUAACUACGUG